ensembl:miRNA
GAGGUGGGAGGAUCGCUUGAGCCUGGGAGGUUGAGGCUGCAGUGAACCGUGAUCACACCAGUGCACUCCAGCCUGAGUGACAGAGCAAGACCCUGUCUC